UACGUAGGGUGCAAGCGUUAAUCGGAAUUACUGGGCGUAAAGCGUGCGCAGGCGGUUAUAUAAGACAGAUGUGAAAUCCCCGGGCUCAACCUGGGAACUGCAUUUGUGACUGUAAGGCUGGAGUGCGGCAGAGGGGGAUGGAAUUCCGCGUGUAGCAGUGAAAUGCGUAGAUAUGCGGAGGAACACCGAUGGCGAAGGCAAUCCCCUGGGCCUGCACUGACGCUCAUGCACGAAAGCGUGGGGAGCAAACAGG
rnacentral:rRNA from 1 species